GAGUAACAUGUAGGUAUCUACCCUUUGGCCUGGAAUAACACGAGGAAACUUGUGCUAAUACCGGAUAAGUCUUUACGGAGAAAGCUUUAUGCACCAUUGGAUGAGCCUGCACUUGAUUAGUUUGUUGGUGGGGUAAUGGCCUACCAAGACUGUGAUCAAUAGCUGAUUUGAGAGGAUGAUCAGCCACAUUGGGACUGAGACACGGCCCAAACUCCUACGGGAGGCAGCAGUGGGGAAUCUUGCACAAUGGAGGAAACUCUGAUGCAGCGAUGCCGCGUGAGUGAAGAAGGCCCUUGGGUUGUAAAGCUCUUUCGUCGGGGAAGAAAAUGACUGUACCCGAAUAAGAAGGUCCGGCUAACUUCGUGCCAGCAGCCGCGGUAAUACGAAGGGACCUAGCGUAGUUCGGAAUUACCGGGCUUAAAGAGUUCGUAGGUGGUUGAAAAAGUUAGUGGUGAAAUCCCA
rnacentral:rRNA from 1 species